GACGAACGCUGGCGGCGCGCUUAACACAUGCAAGUCGAACGGAAAGGCCUGCUUUCCCUUGUGGAUUGCGGGUACUCGAGUGGCGAACGGGUGAGUAACACGUGAGUGAUCUGCCCCCAACUUGGGUAUAAGCCUGGGAAACUGGGUCUAAUUCCCGAUAGGACUGCAGGGUGGUGCCUGUGGUGGAAAACGAUUUUCUAGUGGUUGGGGAUGAGCUCGCGGCCUAUCAGCUUGUUGGUGGGGUAAUGGCCUACCGAGGCGGCGACGGGUAGCCGGCCUGAGAGGGUGGACGGCCACAUUGGGACUGAGAUACGGCCCAGACUCCUACGGGAGGCAGCAGUGGGGAAUAUUGCACAAUGGGCGGAAGCCUGAUGCAGCGACGCCGCGUGGGGGAUGACGGCCUUCGGGUUGUAAACUCCUUUCGACCGCGAGGAAGCCACCUGGUUGGAAGGGUGGUGACGGUAGUGGUAGAAGAAGCACCGGCUAACUACGUG
rnacentral:rRNA from 1 species